UACCAUGCAGUCGAGCGGCAGCGGGUCCUUCGGGAUGCCGGCGAGCGGCGGACGGGUGAGUAAUGCCUAGGAAUCUGCCUGGUAGUGGGGGAUAACGUUCGGAAACGGACGCUAAUACCGCAUACGUCCUACGGGAGAAAGCGGGGGAUCUUCGGACCUCGCGCUAUCAGAUGAGCCUAGGUCGGAUUAGCUAGUUGGUGAGGUAAUGGCUCACCAAGGCGACGAUCCGUAACUGGUCUGAGAGGAUGAUCAGUCACACUGGAACUGAGACACGGUCCAGACUCCUACGGGAGGCAGCAGUGGGGAAUAUUGGACAAUGGGCGAAAGCCUGAUCCAGCCAUGCCGCGUGUGUGAAGAAGGUCUUCGGAUUGUAAAGCACUUUAAGUUGGGAGGAAGGGCAGUAAGUUAAUACCUUGCUGUUUUGACGUUACCAACAGAAUAAGCACCGGCUAACUUCGUGCCAGCAGCCGCGGUAAUACUAAGGGUGCAAGCGUUAAUCGGAAUUACUGGGCGUAAAGCGCGCGUAGGUGGUUCAGCAAGUUGGAUGUGAAAGCCCCGGGCUCAACCUGGGAACUGCAUCCAAAACUACUGAGCUAGAGUACGGUAGAGGGUGGUGGAAUUUCCUGUGUAGCGGUGAAAUGCGUAGAUAUAGGAAGGAACACCAGUGGCGAAGGCGACCACCUGGACUGAUACUGACACUGAGGUGC
rnacentral:rRNA from 1 species